AGAGUUUGAUCCUGGCUCAGGAUGAACGCUGGCGGCGUGCUUAACACAUGCAAGUCGAACGGUGAAGCAGAGCUUGCUCUGUGGAUCAGUGGCGAACGGGUGAGUAACACGUGAGCAAUCUGCCCCUGACUCUGGGAUAACAGCUGGAAACAGCUGCUAAUACCGGAUACGAGACGUGAAGGCAUCUUCAACGUCUGGAAAGAAUUUCGGUCAGGGAUGAGCUCGCGGCCUAUCAGCUAGUUGGUGAGGUAACGGCUCACCAAGGCGUCGACGGGUAGCCGGCCUGAGAGGGUGACCGGCCACACUGGGACUGAGACACGGCCCAGACUCCUACGGGAGGCAGCAGUGGGGAAUAUUGCACAAUGGGCGAAAGCCUGAUGCAGCAACGCCGCGUGAGGGACGACGGCCUUCGGGUUGUAAACCUCUUUUAGCAGGGAAGAAGCGAAAGUGACGGUACCUGCAGAAAAAGCACCGGCUAACUACGUG
rnacentral:rRNA from 1 species